ACGAACGCUGGCGGCGUGCUUAACACAUGCAAGUCGAACGGAAAGGCCCUGCUUUUGUGGGGUGCUCGAGUGGCGAACGGGUGAGUAACACGUGAGUAACCUGCCCUUGACUUUGGGAUAACUUCAGGAAACUGGGGCUAAUACCGGAUAGGAGCUCCUGCUGCAUGGUGGGGGUUGGAAAGUUUCGGCGGUUGGGGAUGGACUCGCGGCUUAUCAGCUUGUUGGUGGGGUAGUGGCUUACCAAGGCUUUGACGGGUAGCCGGCCUGAGAGGGUGACCGGCCACAUUGGGACUGAGAUACGGCCCAGACUCCUACGGGAGGCAGCAGUGGGGAAUAUUGCACAAUGGGCGGAAGCCUGAUGCAGCAACGCCGCGUGCGGGAUGACGGCCUUCGGGUUGUAAACCGCCUUCGCCUGUGACGAAGCGUGAGUGACGGUAAUGGGUAAAGAAGCACCGGCUAACUACGU
rnacentral:rRNA from 1 species